UAUAAAAUAAAUUCUCAUCGGCUACUAUUUCUCCACGAAUUACAGCAUAAGCUACAAUCAAUUUCAAUGUAUUAAAGUUUCUUUUGCAAAUGUUAGUCAAAAUUGUGAAAAAAAUUCACCUUACAGUUAUUAAAUGAACAAACAUAAUAAUGUCAAUGAGAGGUUAAAAUGAAAAUUAUAUCAUGGAUCGCCGAUUAGUCUACCGCCGUUAUUAAGGCCCGCCCCCAUUGGAACCAAUUAGGAUACCAGGAACCAUUGUGGUAGAAAGGGUCGAGCCAUUACAGCCCCAUUCCAGCUGUCAGAUUGAAUAAGGUGAAGAGACCAAGGACAAAUUUCGACAAAAACAGCACCUCAGAAAGACACAAAUCAUAGGA
rnacentral:lncRNA from 1 species